UAGUUGCCGUGUGGUGACAGCAUCUACUGGUGAGAUGAUUAGUGAGAUGCAUUGUCAAAUGUUCCCGCGUAUGCAUUUUUAGUUCUACUUUGUUAUCAUCGCGGUUAUGAGCGUCAGUGGUUAAUUUCUUGUGCUACUUGUGUUGUGUUUUGUUUUGUUUUUUAAAUUAUUUGUUCGUUAAACUUUUGUUUUUUUUUUUAUUUUGUAUUAGGAAGAAACUGAUAAGUUUUUGAUAAAUAAUAAUAAAAGAACUUGUGUUUACGUGGUGGUGUGGUUUUGCGUUUAGUCUUUUUGCAUAGCAGUUAUUAGUUUGUGAUGUCUGGUCAAAAUCAGGUAUUAGCCGCCCGGGCUGCAGAUUCCACUACUUCUCCGCGUUAAGAUCCUUCGGAUCGAGCUACGCCUACGCCUGUACUCAACAGUGUGGCUGUUUACCCUGUGGAUCCUUUAACGGCUUCAACUUAUUCGCGCCUUUUGCUUGCUCCUCCUUUUGGUACUCCACCGGCUGUUCUUAUC